UACGUAGGGUGCAGGCGUUAAUCGGAAUUACUGGGCGUAAAGCGUGCGCAGGCGGUUUCUUAAGUCAGAUGUGAAAGCCCCCGGCUCAACUGGGGAGGGUCACUCGAUACUGAUCGACUUGAAGGCAGGAGAGGGAAGCGGAAUUCCCGGUGUAGUGGUGAAAUGCGUAGAUAUCGGGAGGAACACCAGUGGCGAAGGCGGCUUCCUGGCCUGUUCUUGACGCUGAGGCGCGAAAGCUAGGGGAGCAAACGGG
rnacentral:rRNA from 1 species